rnacentral:rRNA from 1 species
CUACGGGAGGCAGCAGUGGGGAAUUUUGCGCAAUGGGGGAAACCCUGACGCAGCGACGCCGCGUGGAGGAUGACGUCUUUCGGGAUGUAAACUCCUGUCAGUGGGAACGAUAAUGACGGUACCCACAGAGGAAGCACCGGCUAACUCCGUGCCAGCAGCCGCGGUAAGACGGAGGGUGCAAGCGUUGUUCGGAAUUACUGGGCGUAAAGCGUACGUAGGCGGUUGAUUAAGUCAGAUGUUAAAGCCCGGAGCUCAACUCCGAGGAUGCACUUGAUACUGGUCGACUAGAGGGCGAUAGAGGAAAGCGGAAUUCCGAGUGUAGCGGUGAAAUGCGUAGAUAUUCGGAGGAACAUCGGUAGCGAAAGCGGCUUUCUGGGUCGCUCCUGACGCUGAGGUACGAAAGCGUGGGUAGCAAACGGGAUUAGAAACCCUAGUAGUCC